rnacentral:lncRNA from 1 species
CUUGUUUCUUUUUCUUUUUCGAACGCACUUCUCUCUCAUUUAUCUUUCUCUCCAAAUUUUCUCAACCUUUAUAAAUCUUAAAGCUUAUUUUCAAAUCAGUUGAUCUUCUUUUUAACUCUCCAAAUCAUCACCUACUAUAUUCCAACACCAAUCAUACGAUAAUCUCCUCUUCCUCAAUUCAUCUUCUCACCAUUACAUUAAUAAUGUUGAUGUUUGAAGAUGCAAAUCAUACGAUAAUAUCCCCCUCUUCAAUUCCCCAGUAUCUCUUAGUUGAGCUUUUGAAAUUGAAAAUCAAUGGUUAAAUUAGAGAUUGCGAAAAAGUUACAAAUAUAACGAUUAACUUAGAACAAUAACCUA